GACGAACGCUGGCGGCGUGCUUAACACAUGCAAGUCGAACGGCAAGGCCCUGCUUUUGUGGUGUGCUCGAGUGCCGAACGGGUGCGUAACGCGUGAGUAACCUGCCCUUGACUUUGGUAUAACUUCAGGUAACUGGGGCUAAUAUCGUAUAGGAGCUCCUGCUCCAUUGUGGGGGUUGGAAAUUUUCGGCGGUCGGGGAUGGACUCGCGGCUUAUCAGCUUGUUGGUGGGGUAGUGGCUUACCAAGGCUUUGACGGGUAGCCGGCCUGAGAGGGUGACUGGCCACAUUGGGACUGAGAUACGGCCCAGACUCCUACGGGAGGCAGCAGUGGGGAAUAUUGCACAAUGGGCGGAAGCCUGAUGCAGAAACGCCGCGUGCGGGAUGACGGCCUUCGGGUUGUAAACCGCUUUCGCCUGUGACGAAGCGUGAGUGACGGUAAUGGGUAAAGAAGCACCGGCUAACUACGUG
rnacentral:rRNA from 1 species